GUGAGGAAUAUUGGUCAAUGGGCGAGAGCCUGAACCAGCCAAGUCGCGUGAAGGAUGAAGGUUUUAUGAAUUGUAAACUUCUUUUGCAGGGGAAUAAAGUACGGUACGUGUACCGUUUUGUAUGUACUCUGCGAAUAAGGAUCGGCUAACUCCGUGCCAGCAGCCGCGGUAAUACGGAGGAUCCAAGCGUUAUCCGGAUUUAUUGGGUUUAAAGGGUGCGCAGGCGGGUUGAUAAGUCAGCGGUGAAAGUUUGCAGCUUAACUGUAAAAUUGCCGUUGAAACUGUCGAUCUUGAGUGCAAAUGAGGUAAGCGGAAUGUGUUGUGUAGCGGUGAAAUGCUUAGAUAUAACACAGAACACCGAUUGCGAAGGCAGCUUACUGGGAUGCAACUGACGCUCAUGCACGAAAGCGUGGGGAUCAAACAGGAUUAGAAACCCGAGUAGUCC
rnacentral:rRNA from 1 species